CCUACGGGCGGCAGCAGUGAGGAAUAUUGGUCAAUGGACGAGAGUCUGAACCAGCCAAGUAGCGUGAAGGAUGACUGCCCUAUGGGUUGUAAACUUCUUUUAUAUGGGAAUAAAACGUUCCACGUGUGGGAUUUUGUAUGUACCAUAUGAAUAAGGAUCGGCUAACUCCGUGCCAGCAGCCGCGGUAAUACGGAGGAUCCGAGCGUUAUCCGGCUUUAUUGGGUUUAAAGGGAGCGUAGGUGGAUUGUUAAGUCAGUUGUGAAAGUUUGCGGCUCAACCGUAAAAUUGCAGUUGAAACUGGCAGUCUUGAGUACAGUAGAGGUGGGCGGAAUUCGUGGUGUAGCGGUGAAAUGCUUAGAUAUCACGAAGAACUCCGAUUGCGAAGGCAGUUCACUGGACUGCAACUGACACUGAGGCUCGAAAGUGUGGGUAUCAAACAGGAUUAGAUACCCGUGUAGUC
rnacentral:rRNA from 1 species